ACAACUUGAUUUCUGUCCACAAGUUGGUAAAACAGUUGCACUGUAUAGUUUUGUUUACUCCAACUUCCUGUUUACUCCACAUGGUACAUGACCCUUCUCUGAAGAGGCUUCUGGAUCUUGGUAAAGAGGAAGCUGGUCUAUACAAAAUGUCUUGGGUGCCACCUUCUCCUUCUUCCUCUACUGGCUGUUCAUCUACUUCUGUAUGUGCUUUGUCUAAUUCUUGUAAUGAUGACAAUAUGUCUGACAGCAAGGAUGUUGCCUUGCCUUCAAAUGUGAAUAAUUCCAUCU
rnacentral:lncRNA from 1 species